rnacentral:rRNA from 1 species
AACUGCCUACGGGGUGCAGCAGUGGGGAAUAUUGCACAAUGGGGGGAACCCUGAUGCAGCGACGCCGCGUGGGUGAAGGAGUAUUUCGGUAUGUAAAGCCCUAUCAGCAGGGAAGAACAAUGACGGUACCUGACUAAGAAGCACCGGCUAAAUACGUGCCAGCAGCCGCGGUAAUACGUAGGUGGCAAGCGUUAUCCGGAUUUACUGGGUGUAAAGGGCGUGUAGGCGGGAAAGCAAGUCAGAUGUGAAAACCAUGGGCUCAACCUGUGGCCUGCAUUUGAAACUGUUUUUCUUGAUUACUGGAG